GACGAACGCUGGCGGCGUGCUUAACACAUGCAAGUCGAACGGAAAGGCCCUGCUUUUGUGGGGUGCUCGAGUGGCGAACGGGUGAGUAACACGUGAGUAACCUGCCCGUGACUUUGGGAUAACUUCAGGAAACUGGGGCUAAUACCGGAUAGGAGCUCCUGCUGCAUGGUGGGGGUUGGAAAGUUUCGGCGGUUGGGGAUGGACUCGCGGCUUAUCAGCUUGUUGGUGGGGUAGUGGCUUACCAAGGCUUUGACGGGUAGCCGGCCUGAGAGGGUGACCGGCCACAUUGGGACUGAGAUACGGCCCAGACUCCUACGGGAGGCAGCAGUGGGGAAUAUUGCACAAUGGGCGGAAGCCUGAUGCAGCAACGCCGCGUGCGGGAUGACGGCCUUCGGGUUGUAAACCGCUUUCGCCUGUGACGAAGCGUGAGUGACGGUAAUGGGUAAAGAAGCACCGGCUAACUACGU
rnacentral:rRNA from 1 species